GACGAACGCUGGCGGCGUGCCUAAUACAUGCAAGUCGAGCGGAUUGAUGGGAGCUUGCUCCCUGAUAUCAGCGGCGGACGGGUGAGUAACACGUGGGCAACCUGCCUAUAAGACUGGGAUAACUUCGGGAAACCGGAGCUAAUACCGGAUAAUCCCUUUCCUCUCAUGAGGAAAGGCUGAAAGAUGGUUUACGCUAUCACUUAUAGAUGGGCCCGCGGCGCAUUAGCUAGUUGGUGAGGUAACGGCUCACCAAGGCAACGAUGCGUAGCCGACCUGAGAGGGUGAUCGGCCACACUGGGACUGAGAGACGGCCCAGACUCCUACGGUAGGCAGCAGUAGGGAAUCUUCCGAAAUGGACCAAAGUCUGACGGAGCAACGCCGCGUGAGUGAUGAAGGUUUUCGGAUCGUAAAACUCUGUUGUUGGGGAAGAACAAGUACGAGAGUAACUGCUCGUACCUUGACGGUACCUAACCAGAAAGCCACGGCUAACUACGUGCCAGCCGCCGCGGUAA
rnacentral:rRNA from 1 species